CCUCAUGGGCGUUCCACAUGAUUACGACACAAGUUGUCCUGGAGACAUUUUCAACGCUUUAAGCAUUGAUCCCAAUAGACUUCAACUCGAUUCAUUUCUAUACGGAGUUGCACAUCAAUGUCAUUUGGCAUCCGAACGCUCACGACAAACAAGUAAAGCAAUUUCAAAUGAAGAAAUUAUAAAAGAAAUACAAGAUUUCAACACUGAAGAGGUUACCCUUACUAACACGCAUGUUCAAUGCAUUGCUGGAGCACUUCGUGCGUCAUUGGAAAUAUGGAGUCCCCAGUUUGAACUAUUCCAUAUCUAUUUUCCGUGUUUAUGCCAAGUUACGGACAACGGAGGAAUAGGCUACUUUAGUUUGACAGUUGGCAAAACUUUUCAAAAUAGUUAUGUAUUUAUGGAGCAAACAUCUGAAAAGAGACCGACUAGAA